GCAUAUCAAUAAGCGGAGGAAAAGAAACCAACCGGGAUUGCCUCAGUAACGGCGAGUGAAGCGGCAAAAGCUCAAAUUUGAAAUCUGGUACCUUCGGUGCCCGAGUUGUAAUUUGUAGAGCGUGUCUUGGGGCUGUUCCCUGUCUAUGUUCCUUGGAACAGGACGUCAUGGAGGGUGAGAAUCCCGUAUGGCGGGGGCCGCAGUUCUAUGUAAGUCACGCUCGAAGAGUCGAGUUGUUUGGGAAUGCAGCUCUAAGUGGGUGGUAAAUUCCAUCUAAAGCUAAAUAUAGGCGAGAGACCGAUAGCGAACAAGUACAGUGAUGGAAAGAUGAAAAGAACUUUGAAAAGAGAGUGAAAGAGGACGUGAAAUUGUUGAAAGGGAAGGGCAUUUGAUCAGACAUGGUGUUUUGCGCCCUCUGCUCCUUGUGGGUGGGGGAAUCUCGCAGCUCACUGGGCCAGCAUCAGUUUUGGCGGCAGGAUAAAACCCUGGGAACGUAACUUGCUUCGGUAAGUAUUAUAGCCCAGGGAAAUACUGCCAGCUGGGACUGAGGAACGCGGCGUAAGCCUAGGAUGCUGGCAUAAUGGUUAUAUGCCGCCCGUCUUGAAACACGGACCAAGGAGUCUAACGUCUAUGCAAGUGUUUGGGUGUAAAACCCGUACGCGUAAUGAAAGUGAACGUAGGUUGGGGCCCCUCGAGGGUGCACAAUCGACCGAUCCUGAUGUCUUCGGAUGGAUUUGAGUAAGAGCAUAGCUGUUGGGACCCGAAAGAUGGUGAACUAUGCCUGAAUAGGGUGAAGCCAGAGGAAACUCUGGUGGAGGCUCGUAGCGGUUCUGACGUGCAAAUCGAUCGUCGAAUUUGGGUAUAGGGGCGAAAGACUAAUCGAACCAUCUAGUAGCUGGUCCUGC
rnacentral:rRNA from 1 species